rnacentral:rRNA from 1 species
GGGGAAUAUUGCACAAUGGGCGCAAGCCUGAUGCAGCCAUGCCGCGUGUAUGAAGAAGGCCUUCGGGUUGUAAAGUACUUUCAGCAGUGAGAAGGUGGAUAUGUUAAUAGCAUAUUCAUUUGACGUUAGCUGCAGAAGAAGCACCGGCUAACUCCGUGCCAGCAGCCGCGGUAAUACGGAGGGUGCGAGCGUUAAUCGGAAUUACUGGGCGUAAAGCGCAUGCAGGUGGUUUGUUAAGUCAGAUGUGAAAGCCCGGGGCUCAACCUCGGAAUUGCAUUUGAAACUGGCAAACUAGAGUACUGUAGAGGGGGUAGAAUUUCAGGUGUAGCGGUGAAAUGCGUAGAGAUCUGAAGGAAUACCGGUGGCGAAGGCGGCCCCCUGGACAGAUACUGACACUCAGAUGCGAAAGCGUGGGGAGCAAACAGGAUUAGAUACCCUGGUAG